CAGUUUGGGUGUGUCAGUGUGUAUUUGUCACUGGUCACUUGUAUCUGAGUUUGUGUGCAUGUAUCAGUAUGCCUAUGUGUGUGUCAGUGUCUUUGUAUGUUUCAACAUGUGUAUCUCUGUGUCAGGGGGUGUGUAUAUUGGUAUAUAUCUGAGUGUAUCUAUUCGUGUGUUUAUGUUUCACUGUGUAUCUGAAUGGGUGUGUGUCAUUUUAUCUGUCAGUG